GGGUGGUGUUGGUUAGAUUAUUCCAGUUUGAGUCUGGGGGUUUACAGGAGGAGUAAAAAUCAGUCUUUAGGGAAAGAUUGAGUGAUAGUUUAGUCUGAGUAGAACAUGGAAUGUGAAUGUGUAUUGAGGGGGGUGAAUGGGAAAACAGGGAAAAAAACAGGUUAGGAAAUCCUUUCUGAAGGUCUUUGAUCUAAAAGCAAGGAGUUGGUGUUCAGGGGAAGAGGUGUGGAGAGGCAGGGCUAAGGCUAUUGAGGAAUUUGGGAGGUUGGUAAGUAGAGUGAUACAUGGCUACAAAACUUGGAUCAGUUCUAGACAAUAGUAUCCACUUCUUGUCAACUUCCUUAAGUCAUCUACCAGCAGUACUUACCAUGAACUUACUACUAAAUAUCUCCAGAAAGAGACAUCUGAAAUGUAGCCAGUUUGAGGAUACAGAAAUGCUAUUUCAAUUGUCACAACGCUGCUGGAAUGGACAGAGCAGCAAAAGGAUAACAGAAAAUAGCUCUUUGGUCUAAAGGAUUGACUCUUCCUCCUGUUGACAACCAUUUUGUCCUGGAAAAGGAGAAUGGAUGGAAUUAGGUCCUUUUCUCUGAAAGAGUGCCUGUUCAGCCUGAAGAAGAAAUCUAUGUGCUUCGUGGACUGCUGAACUUGGGUGCCUGUCCCAUUUGGACAUCUCGAAAAUGUGGCCAAAAUGUGCUCAUCUUAAGGUGCUGCACUGGGAAAUAAGCAGCGUCAAAAGAACCCUUUGCUUUUUGAUUGACCUUCUUUGCUGGACAGAUUGCUUUUUGUGGUGUUGGCCUAUAUUUUCAAUUUGAUCUACAUGAAGCUUCUGCUCAGAGUCCCCCCUACUUGGAUAAUAACUGCAUAAAUAAUAUAAGUUGAGUGCCCACUGCAUCCAACAGCCUGUCCUAAGUACUUGGGAAGUAUAAAACAAAGAAGUAAUGUGUUCUUUGCCCAUAGGCUCUUCAGUGAGCAAGACCGACAUAGUAUUUACCAAUAGAGUGGUCAGAAUAAAUAACUGAAUGCAACUGAGUAUAUAUUAAAGUGCUGAGGAUUAGGUAUAAUUUCACAAGAGCUAGAGUUAGCUGAUGGGUUUAUUUGUCUUUGGGGGUUGAGAGCUAGUCAGGGAGGACUUAAAGGAGGAGGUGAGAUUUUAGAAAGGCAGCAGCUGUUGACUAAAUGAUUUCCAAGCUGAAGGCACAGGUGAUGGAGGAAAGGGAAGUUGAGGGAGGAGUACGAUUAGGUUCAGUUUGGAAGGAAGAAAGUAAAUGAGCUGAGAAAUAGUGGGUGAAGAGGGCAGAUGGAGAUUGUACUCUCCCAAGUAUUUUGUUCAGUGCUCUAC